rnacentral:rRNA from 1 species
CGAAAGCGAGUAAGACCCCUUGAAGACGACGAGGUAGAUAGGUUAGAGGUGGAAGUGCAGUAAUGUACGGAGCUGACUAAUACUAAUCGGUCGAGGGCUUAUCCAA